AGGGUUUGAUCCUGGCUCAGGAUGAACGCUGGCGGUAUGCCUAACACAUGCAAGUCGUACGAGAGUUUUUAACUCUAGUGGCGGACGGGUGAGUAACACGUGAGAAUUUACCUCUAGGAGGGGGAUAACAAUUGGAAACGAAUGCUAAUACCCCAUAUGCUUUCGAGUGAAAUGGAUUUAUAUUAUUCGCCUAGAGAGAAGCUCGCGGCUGAUUAGCUUGUUGGUAAGGUAAGAGCUUACCAAGGCGACGAUCAGUAUCUGGUUUGAGAGGACGAUCAGACACACUGGAACUGAGACACGGUCCAGACUCCUACGGGAGGCAGCAGUGGGGAAUUUUCCGCAAUGGGCGAAAGCCUGACGGAGCAAUACCGCGUGAGGGAAGACUGCCUAUGGGUUGUAAACCUCUUUUUUCAGGGAGGAAUAAAAUGACGUGUACCUGAAGAAUAAGCAUCGGCUAACUCCGUGCCAGCC
rnacentral:rRNA from 1 species